AGCAGCCGCGGUAAUUCCAGCUCCAAUAGCGUAUAUUAAAGUUGUUGCAGUUAAAAAGCUCGUAGUUGAAUUUCGGGAUUGACACAUCGGUCGUGCCUUAAGGGGUAUGAACUGGUGUAGUCAAUUUCUCACCUUCUGGAGAACCGCGAUGUCCUUAAUUGGGUGCCGCGGGGAACCAGGACCCUUACUUUGAAAAAUUAGAGUGUUUAAAGCAGGCAUUUUUGCUUGAAUACAUUAGCAUGGAAUAAUAAAAUAGGACGGCAUGGUUCUAUUUUGUUGGUUUCUAGGACCACCGUAAUGAUUAAUAGGGAUAGUUGGGGGCAUUAGUAUUCAAUUGUCAGAGGUGAAAUUCUUGGAUUUAUUGAAGACUAACUACUGCGAAAGCAUUUGCCAAGGAUGUUUUCAUUAAUCAAGAACGAAAGUUAGGGGACCGAAGACGAUCAGGUACCGUCGUAGUCUUAACCACUAAACUAUGCCGACUAGGGAGUCGGAGUGAUGUUAAUUUUUUAAUUUGUACUCU
rnacentral:rRNA from 1 species